rnacentral:misc_RNA from 1 species
CGGAAACAUAAACAUAAGCAUAUCGAUAAAGAUAUUUUACAUGUCCAAGACCUUACACUACAACACUCAGGCACAUACAGAAAGAAUUCAUUUCACUUCUUGGAUUUCAUCAAGAGCGUAGUUGUUGGUGGAGACAUUAGCAUAGUUCACCUUGCUGAAUCGGACCACCACUGGGUAGCGAGUGUUUGGGUCCUGGUCCACUGCCACGACGGACCCAAUCCCAUUGAACCAAUAUGAUUCUUUCCGCAGAAUCUUCACCUUGGUGCCCCUCUUUGGGCCAAUCGGCGGAGGCUUGACCGUCUUAACCUCUGCCGGUGCAGCCGGCGCCGCUGCCGCUGCCGCCUCCUCGGCCCGAACAACCAACCGGCGUGGGCUCGAGUUGGCCCCCUUGAAGAAGGUGAGGGAGCCGGAGCGAGAGGAGGUGGUGGUGGUGGGGAGGCUGGAGGUGAGCACGAAGCUCGAGGCUGCCGAGGCCAUGGAGGUAGCCAUUCUAACCCUAAUUUUCAGGUAUUUGCUGCUCUGUUGGGUGACUG